rnacentral:tRNA from 1 species
AAUAAAAUCCUAAAUUAAAAUAAAUUAAACUGCAAAUUUAAUUAAGAAAAUUAUUU